ACCAGGUUGGCCGAGUGGUUAAGGCGCCAGACUUAAGUUCUGGUCUCUGUAUAGAGACGUGGGUUCAAUCCCCACACCUGGUA
rfam:Daphnia magna strain Xinb3 scaffold00640, whole genome shotgun sequence.